UACGGAGGGUGCGAGCGUUGUCCGGAAUCACUGGGCGUAAAGGGCGCGUAGGCGGCCUGAUAAGUAGGGGGUGAAAUCCUGCGGCUUAACCGCAGGGCUGCCUUCUAAACUGUCAGGCUGGAGCACAGUAGAGGCAGGUGGAAUUCCCGGUGUAGCGGUGGAAUGCGUAGAGAUCGGGAAGAACAUCAGUGGCGAAGGCAGCAAUUUGGCCCGGUAUCGACGCUCAGGCACGAAAGCAUGGGGAUCAAACAGG
rnacentral:rRNA from 1 species